rnacentral:rRNA from 1 species
UACGGAAGGCAGCAGUGGGGAAUAUUGCACAAUGGGCGAAAGCCUGAUGCAGCUAUGCCGCGUGUAUGAAGAAGGCCUUAGGGUUGUAAAGUACUUUCAUCGGGGAGGAAAAACAAAACUAAUAAUUUUAUUUCUUGACGUUACCCGAAAAAGAAGCACCGGCUAACUCCGUGCCAGCAGCCGCGGUAAUACGGAGGGUGCUAGCGUUAAUCAGAAUUACUGGGCGUAAAGAGCACGUAGGUGGUUUUUUUAAGUCAGAUGUGAAAUCCCUGGGCUUAACCUAGGAACUGCAUUUUGAAACUGAAAUACUAGAGUAUCGUAGAGGGAGGUAGAAUUCUAGGUGUAGCGGUGAAAUGCGUAGAUAUCUGGAGGAAUACCUGUGGCGAAAGCGGCCUCCUAAACGAAUACUGACACUGAGGUGCGAAAGCGUGGGGAGCAAAACGAGGGAUUAGGAUACC